rnacentral:rRNA from 1 species
AUUUAUUGGGCGUAAAGCGAGCGCAGGCGGUUUUUUAAGUCUGAUGUGAAAGCCUUCGGCUCAACCGAAGAAGUGCAUCGGAAACUGGGAAACUUGAGUGCAGAAGAGGACAGUGGAACUCCAUGUGUAGCGGUGAAAUGCGUAGAUAUAUGGAAGAACACCAGUGGCGAAGGCGGCUGUCUGGUCUGUAACUGACGCUGAGGCUCGAAAGUAUGGGUAGCAAACAGGAUUAGAUACCCUGGUAGUCCAUACCGUAAACGAUGAAUGCUAAGUGUUGGAGGGUUUCCGCCCUUCAGUGCUGCAGCUAACGCAUUAAGCAUUCCGCCUGGGGAGUACGGCCGCAAGGCUGAAACUCAAAGGAAUUGACGGGGGCCCGCACAAGCGGUGGAGCAUGUGGUUUAAUUCGAAGCUACGCGAAUUGGAGGGUUUCCGCCCUUCAGUGCUGCAGCUAACGCAUUAAGCAUUCCGCCUGGGGAGUACGGCCGCAAGGCUGAAACUCAAAGGAAUUGACGGGGGCCCGCACAAGCGGUGGAGCAUGUGGUUUAAUUCGAAGCUACGCGAAGAACCUUACCAGGUCUUGACAUACUAUGCAAAUCUAAGAGAUUAGACGUUCCCUUCGGGGACAUGGAUACAGGUGGUGCAUGGUUGUCGUCAGCUCGUGUCGUGAGAUGUUGGGUUAAGUCCCGCAACGAGCGCAACCCUUAUUAUCAGUUGCCAGCAUUAAGUUGGGCACUCUGGUGAGACUGCCGGUGACAAACCGGAGGAAGGUGGGGAUGACGUCAAAUCAUCAUGCCCCUUAUGACCUGGGCUACACACGUGCUACAAUGGAUGGUACAACGAGUUGCGAACUCGCGAGAGUAAGCUAAUCUCUUAAAGCCAUUCUCAGUUCGGAUUGUAGGCUGCAACUCGCCUACAUGAAGUCGGAAUCGCUAGUAAUCGCGGAUCAGCAUGCCGCGGUGAAUACGUUCCCGGGCCUUGUACACACCGCCCGUCACACCAUGAGAGUUUGUAACACCCAAAGUCGGUGGGGU